CAAACCAUUAAUGGUUGAUGUCCUGCUGGACGUUGAAGGAAAGACCAUCUGGAUGUAUUUAGCGCCAUCAGUCUUCACGUAAAUCAACCAGCUUCCCAUUCUUUAAUAAAGAAAAACAUUUCUAAAGGAAGAUACUGCCACCGUCAGAGAUCAUCAUGCACGAUUAAUAGUUAUCCUGUGGACAUUUGGACUUUCUCACAUUUGGUCUUCAUGUGGUCAAUUUCCCCCACCAGAGCUGUGGAUCUCCAGCCCCUCUAGACUUUUGGUCGUGUCUCUCUUUGUUUUGCAAGGCACUAACUAUGUAAUAACAUCUGAGAAGUUAAUCAAAGGAGCUCCAAUAAAGCAACAACCCUCUUUUACAUAAAGGGCCUGCUUAAGACCCUGAGCGUGCCUGGGGGCUGAUUGGAUUGGCUGAAGGUUGCAUUUGAGAGAUUAAGCCUUGGUGCAUUAUAGAGCGGUAGGCGGGAGCGGCAGGAUGUGGGACGGGUUCCCAGGAAAGACACAAACUGGGCAGCACAGACAUGAGAUGACCUUCAGAAGAAGACAAAGAGGUUUGGAGCUCAGAAUAGAGAAACUU